rnacentral:lncRNA from 1 species
CUAGUAUUAUACCCGUGCUACGCACGACCCAAUUAUUCAUACGUAUUUAUCAUAUAUAAUAACAUUAAUAUAUAGAAUUGUAAAAAGCAAAAAAAAAAAAAUGAUACAAAACAUACCAGUGCUUCGCACAACAUAUAUAAUAAGAGUAACAUACUCGUGCUUCGCACGACAUGAAUAUUGAUACGUAUUUGUGAAGUAUUGUAGCGGUACUAUAGAAUUGUAAAAAGAAAAACAAAAGUGAUACAAAACA